rnacentral:rRNA from 1 species
GAUGAACGCUAGCGGCAGGCCUAAUACAUGCAAGUCGAACGGUGUCUUCGGACAUAGUGGCGCACGGGUGCGUAACACGUAUGCAACCUACCUUACAUUGGGGGAUAGCCUUUCGAAAGGGAGAUUAAUACCGCAUAAGACAGUAGCUGGGCAUCCAGCAGCUGUUAAAGAUUUAUCGAUGUAAGCUGGGCAUGCGUCCAAUUAGCUAGUUGGUGAGGUAACGGCUCACCAAGGCAAUGAUUGGUAGGGGAACUGAGAGGUCAAUCCCCCACACUGGCACUGAGAUACGGGCCAGACUCCUACGGGAGGCAGCAGUAGGGAAUAUUGGGCAAUGGACGCAAGUCUGACCCAGCCAUGCCGCGUGCAGGAUGAAGGCGUUAUGCGUUGUAAACUGCUUUUAUACAGGAAAAAACGACUCUUGCGAGAGGCAUUGACGGUACUGUAUGAAUAAGCACCGGCUAACUACGUGCCAGCCGCCGCCGUAAGAC